rnacentral:rRNA from 1 species
CCUACGGGUGGCAGCAGUGAGGAAUAUUGGUCAAUGGGCGCAAGCCUGAACCAGCCAAGUAGCGUGCAGGAUGACGGCCCUACGGGUUGUAAACUGCUUUUAUACGGGAAUAACGCGCCUUACGUGUAGGUCUUUGCAUGUACCGUAUGAAUAAGGACCGGCUACUUCCGUGCCAGCAGCCGCGGUAAUACGGAAGGUCCGGGCGUUAUCCGGAUUUAUUGGGUUUAAAGGGAGCGUAGGCCGCAUGUCAAGCGUGAUGUGAAAUGUCCGGGCUCAACCCGGGCCUUGCAGCGCGAACUGGCGUGCUUGAGUCCGCGGAAGGCAGGCGGAAUUCGUCGGGUAGCGGUGAAAUGCUUAGAUAGAACGAAGAACCCCGAUUGCGAAGGCAGCUUGCUGCAGCGGAACUGACGCUGAUGCUCGAAAGCGCGGGUAUCGAACAGGAUUAGAUACCCUUGUAGUC